AUACGGAGGGUGCGAGCGUUGUCCGGAAUCACUGGGCGUAAAGGGCGCGUAGGCGGUCUGGUAAGCGUGCGGUGAAAGCCCGGGGCUCAACCCCGGGUCGGCCGUGCGGACUGCGAGACUGGAGCACUGUAGAGGCAGAUGGAAUUCCGGGUGUAGCGGUGGAAUGCGUAGAGAUCCGGAAGAACACCGGUGGCGAAGGCGGUCUGCUGGGCAGUGGCUGACGCUGAGGCGCGACAGCGUGGGGAGCAAACAGGA
rnacentral:rRNA from 1 species